AAAUUGAAGAGUUUGAUCAUGGCUCAGAUUGAACGCUGGCGGCAGGCCUAACACAUGCAAGUCGAACGGUAACAGGAAACAGCUUGCUGUUUCGCUGACGAGUGGCGGACGGGUGAGUAAUGUCUGGGAAACUGCCCGAUGGAGGGGGAUAACUACUGGAAACGGUAGCUAAUACCGCAUAACGUCGCAAGACCAAAGAGGGGGACCUUCGGGCCUCUUGCUAUCGGAUGUGCCCAGAUGGGAUUAGCUAGUAGGUGGGGUAACGGCUCACCUAGGCGACGAUCCCUAGCUGGUCUGAGAGGAUGACCAGCCACACUGGAACUGAGACACGGUCCAGACUCCUACGGGAGGCAGCAGUGGGGAAUAUUGCACAAUGGGCGCAAGCCUGAUGCAGCCAUGCCGCGUGUAUGAAGAAGGCCUUCGGGUUGUAAAGUACUUUCAGCGGGGAGGAAAGGAGUAAAGUUAAUACCUUUGCUCAUUGACGUUACCCGCAGAAGAAGCACCGGCUAACUCCGUGCCAGCAGCCGCGGUAAUACGGAGGGUGCAAGCGUUAAUCGGAAUUACUGGGCGUAAAGCGCACGCAGGC
rnacentral:rRNA from 1 species